rnacentral:lncRNA from 1 species
GGUUCUAUUAGGCUUGCAGGGCUUAAAAAAGAAUGAGCUAGAUCGCAGGUAUUUGGAUACGAGGUAGUAGCGGGGUCUAGUCGAAGCGGUGCGCAAAGUGUACAAAGGCGAGUCUCACGGGCAGCGGCACGUGAGGGGUCUCCCGAACUUCAUGGAAGACGCAGUUAGGGAGUUGGAAGAUGCACUUUGGACUCCUCCACCAGUAAGAAUGGAACUGGAAUAAAAAGUCGGGGUAGCUAGUCACUCCGUUACUGAGGAAAGAGAGGAUGGCAUUUCUUACUGGAUCCUUAUCUUGCCCUCUCUACUCGGGAACAAUUCAUUCUUAACUCAUACAUAAGUUUCGGGCGUCGACAAGAGAGUUAGCGAUCUACAGCUGGUUCGGUGGACUGGUGGUGACACGGGCGGGCCCUCUACUUUAUUUGCUGAAUCCAAUCGAUCAUGGGCGGCCCUCUUCGUUCACAGUCUUUCUUUCCUUUCGAAUCCAAUUGUUCCAAUCUGACCAAAUAGCAAUUCAUUGAAAUCAUUCGGGUCACCUCUUUUUUAAGCACUUGACCAAGCCUAUUUCUAUAGAAAAGGACAGGAAUCUAUUGACUUUGAGUCUGUCUCCUACGAAAUUGGAACUGAACACAGGAUGGCAAUAGUGAGAAAAAAAAUCCCCUCGUACUACGUCAUUAUUUAUUCUAUUUUCCUUGGUAAGUGCUCCAGAUGCAGUUGCUUUAGUUGACGUAGUGAGUGGAACCUAAUUAUCUGUUUCCUUGAAUACCAGAGUUGCCUUUUGUAGAUGAGAAAGCCAACAAUUUUGCAAGGAGUUGAUAGUUGCACUUGAAGUAGUAAGUUUAAAGACAGUUGAAACUUAAUGGCACCGUUUAACCAAGCACUCUUGUAGCUUCGGAAACUCCAUGUUCAGAUCGGUGAGGCAAGAGACGAAUUCAUCGUCAGUUACCUCCACGAUAUCCAAAAUACCCUCCAGACCAUGAAGACAGAUAAUGAGAGUCAGGUUCAAACAAUUCAAGGAUUGUAAAUACCAUAACACUAAAGUAGAAUGCACCAAAUUUUUCCUAUUACCGGUUCCAGGAAGAGCACACCAAAUGAAAGAAACUAUUACUCAAAAAGCGAAUCACAUCUCGAUCCACAAACUCCCAAAAGCCUUUGUUAUUCCAUUCCCAGUGGAACGUCAACCUGUUUAACAACAAUUUUCUAAGAAACUUGCUGAAUUCUAAAUGAAACGGCCUUAUUUUCAAGUGACACGCAAUAUCCAUUUCAACCAAUUAUUGAAGAUAAAAGGGCUAACUGCACAGCUAAUUGAAUUCCUUUUUGAGGUUGAGUUCAUCUUGAAACCGCAUUUGCUUCCUAAUUAAACUAAGAAAAAAUAAGAAUAUUAAAAGAAAGACUCCAUAGAACAUGAAUGAAUUCAGGUACAUCACAUCACGCUGAUAUGUGCCGGUAUCAUACCUGUUUCAAGAUUCUGGCUAAGCCUUUCUUGUUGCCACAUAUCCAGUUUCUUCUAAGGUUUCUUGAAUUGCUCAAGUUCCUGCUCAACGCUUCUUGUCUAGCUCCAGUCUAGCACUUGUACCAGUCGCCUACCAGAUCACGGCUUUGCUCCAAUUCGACUCUCCAAUUAUGCAAUCCUCUCCAAAAUUGGGCUUUUCUUCACUUCAGCACUUCCCCUCGCAGUGGAUUCCACUAGGUUCUUAACCUCUUCCCAAUUCUUAAACUGAAACCUGUGAUGU